rnacentral:rRNA from 1 species
CCUACGGGUGGCAGCAGUGGGGGAUAUUGCACAAUGGGGGGAACCCUGAUGCAGCGACGCCGCGUGGGUGAAGAAGCGCCUCGGCGCGUAAAGCCCUGUUAGCAGGGAAGAAAAUGACGGUACCUGAAGAAGAAGCCCCGGCUAAAUACGUGCCAGCAGCCGCGGGAAUACGGAGGGGGCCAGCGUUAUCCGGAUUUACGGGGUGUAAGGGGGGCGCAGACGGCGGUGCAAGCCAGGAGUGAAAGCCCGGGGCCCAACCCCGGGACUGCUCUUGGAACUGCGUGGCUUGAGUGCAGGAGGGGCAGGCGGAAUUCCUGGUGUAGCGGUGAAAUGCGUAGAUAUCAGGAGGAACACCGGUGGCGAAGGCGGCCUGCUGGACUGCAACUGACGUUGAGGCCCGAAAGCGUGGGGAGCAAACAGGAUUAGAUACCCCUGUAGUC